GGAGGGGGCGAGCGUUAUUCGGAUUUACUGGGCGUAAAGCGCACGUAGGCGGCUAGGUAUGUCAAAGGUGAAAGCCCUCGACUCAACCGAGGAACUGCCUUUGAAACUGCUUGGCUUGAGUCCGGGAGAGGGGAGCGGAAUUCCCAGUGUAGCGGUGAAAUGCGUAGAUACUGGGAGGAACACCGGUGGCGAAGGCGGCUCCCUGGACCGGCACUGACGCUGAGGUGCGAAAGCGUGAGUAGCAAACAGGAUUAGAUACCCUGGUAGUCCACGCCGUAAACGAUGGGCACUAGGUGCAGCGGGUGUCGACCCCCUGCUGUGCCGAAGCUAACGCAUUAAGUGCCCCCGCCUGGGGAGUACGGUCGCAAGGCUG
rnacentral:rRNA from 1 species